AGUGAACGCUGGCGGUAGGCCUAACACAUGCAAGUCGAACGGCAGCACGAAAGGAGCUUGCUCCUUUUGGUGGCGAGUGGCGGACGGGUGAGGAAUACAUCGGAAUCUACCUUGUCGUGGGGGAUAACGUAGGGAAACUUACGCUAAUACCGCAUACGACCUACGGGUGAAAGCGGAGGACCGCAAGGCUUCGCGCGAUUGGAUGAGCCGAUGUCGGAUUAGCUUGUUGGCGGGGUAAUGGCCCACCAAGGCGACGAUCCGUAGCUGGUCUGAGAGGAUGAUCAGCCACACUGGAACUGAGACACGGUCCAGACUCCUACGGGAGGCAGCAGUGGGGAAUAUUGGACAAUGGGCGCAAGCCUGAUCCAGCCAUACCGCGUGGGUGAAGAAGGCCUUCGGGUUGUAAAGCCCUUUUGUUGGGAAAGAAAAGCAGUCGGUCAAUACCCGAUUGUUCUGACGGUACCCAAAGAAUAAGCACCGGCUAACUUCGUGCCAGCAGCCGCGGUAAUACGAAGGGUGCAAGCGUUACUCGGAAUUACUGGGCGUAAAGCGUGCGUAGGUGGUUUGUUAAGUCUGAUGUGAAAGCCCUGGGCUCAACCUGGGAAUUGCACUGGAUACUGGGCAGGCUAGAGUGCGGUAGAG
rnacentral:rRNA from 1 species